UUUUUAACGAGAGUUUGAUCCUGGCUCAGGAUGAACGCUGGCGGCGUGCUUAACACAUGCAAGUCGAACGAAGCACUUAUCUUUGAUUCUUCGGAUGAAGAGGUUUGUGACUGAGUGGCGGACGGG
rnacentral:rRNA from 1 species